rnacentral:rRNA from 1 species
AGUGAACGCUGGCGGUAGGCCUAACACAUGCAAGUCGAACGGCAGCACAGUAAGAGCUUGCUCUUACGGGUGGCGAGUGGCGGACGGGUGAGGAAUACAUCGGAAUCUACUUUUUCGUGGGGGAUAACGUAGGGAAACUUACGCUAAUACCGCAUACGACCUACGGGUGAAAGCAGGGGAUCUUCGGACCUUGCGCGAUUGAAUGAGCCGAUGUCGGAUUAGCUAGUUGGCGGGGUAAAGGCCCACCAAGGCGACGAUCCGUAGCUGGUCUGAGAGGAUGAUCAGCCACACUGGAACUGAGACACGGUCCAGACUCCUACGGGAGGCAGCAGUGGGGAAUAUUGGACAAUGGGCGCAAGCCUGAUCCAGCCAUACCGCGUGGGUGAAGAAGGCCUCCGGGUUGUAAAGCCCCUUUGUUGGGAAAGAAAAGCAGCAGGUUAAUACCCCGCUGUUCUGACGGUACCCAAAGAAUAAGCACCGGCUAACUUCGUG